rnacentral:rRNA from 1 species
UCUGGUUUUUUAGGGCACACGGUGGAUGCCUUGGCAUGCUGAGCCGAUGAAGGACGUGGGAGGCUGCGUUAAGCCUCGGGGAGUUGUCAACCGAGCGUUGAUCCGAGGAUGUCCGAAUGGGGAAACCCGGCCAUGGUUAUGUGUGGUCACCUGCAACUGAAGACUUGUGUAUAGGUUGUGUGGAGGUAACGCGGGGAAGUGAAACAUCUCAGUACCCGUAGGAGAAGAAAACAAGAGUGAUUCCGCUAGUAGUGGCGAGCGAACGUGGAUUUUUGGCUAAACCGUGAUUGUGUGUGAUACCCGGCAGGGGUUGCAUGAUCCGGGGUUGUGGGGUUUAUAACGUCUGUUAUCUGCCGGUGACGGGUCUGUUGUUGGUGCUGUUAGUGGAAGUGGUGUGGAAACGCCUGCCGUAGAGGGUGAGAGUCCCGUACAUGAAAGCAGUUGCCUGAUGGAUGGUUAUUUGUCCCCGAGUAGCAGCGGGCUCGUGGAAUCUGCUGUGAAUCUGCCGGGACCACCCGGUAAGCCUGAAUACUCAGUGUGACCGAUAGCGGAUUGAGUACCGUGAGGGAAUGGUGAAAAGUACCCCGGGAGGGGAGUGAAAGAGUACCUGAAACCGUGUGUCUACAAUCCGUCAGAGCCCUUUUGGGGUGAUGGCGUGCCUUUUGAAGAAUGAGCCUGCGAGUCAGCGGCAUGUCGCGAGGUUAACCCGGUUUGUGGGGUAGUCGUAGCGAAAGCGAAUACUAACGAGUGUGUUGUAGUGGCAUGUCCUGGACCCGAAGCGGAGUGAUCUACCCAUGGCCAGUGUGAAGCAGCGGUAAGACGCUGUGGAGGCGCGAACCCACUUAGGUUGAAAACUGAGGGGAUGAGUUGUGGGUAGGGGUGAAAGGCCAAUCAAACUUCGUGAUAGCUGGUUCUCCCCGAAAUGCAUUUAGGUGCAGCGCUACGCGUGUUUGCCGGAGGUAGAGCUACUGGUUGGUUUAGCGGGACUAUCAUCUUAGCGACAUCAGCUAAACUCCGAAUGCCGGUGAAACGGUUCGUGUAGUAGUGAGACUGCGGGGGAUAAGCUUCGUAGUCGAGAGGGAAACAGCCCAGAUCGCCGGUUAAGGCCCCUAAGGGUGUGCUAAGUGGAAAAGGAUGUGGGAUCGCCCAGACAGCCAGGAGGUUGGCUUAGAAGCAGCCAUCCUUGAAAGAGUGCGUAAUAGCUCACUGGUCGAGUGGUUCCGCGCCGACAAUGUAGUGGGGCUCAAGCACACCGCCGAAACCGCGGCAGCAGCAUCUUGUUUAGGGUGUUGUUGGGUAGGGGAGCGUCGUAUGCUGCGUUGAAGCUGCCGGGUGACCGUGUGGUGGAGUGUAUACGAGUGAGAAUGCAGGCAUGAGUAGCGAAUGACGGGUGGAAAACCCGUCCGCCGGAUGAUCAAGGGUUCCUGGGUGAAGCUAAUCUUCCCAGGGUGAGUCGGGACCUAAGGCGAGGCCGACAGGCGUAGUCGAUGGAUAACGGGUUGAUAUUCCCGUACCCGUGUGUAUGCGAAAAGUGGUGACGCGAUGAUACUAACUGCCCGUCGCAUCCUUCACGUCAGUCUUUUUAGGCUGGUGGUUGUGGUGUGUUCGCGUAGGACCUGAGUUGUUGGUAGCCAAGUGAUGGGGUGACGCAGAGUGGUAGCCGAGCCAACGGUUGGAAGUGUUGGUGUAAGCGUGCAGCCCGUGGGAUAGGGAAAUCCGUUCCACAUUAUAUGGGUGAGGCGUGAUGCAGACCCACAUGUUGUGGGGGAGUCGGUGUGCCUGUGCUGUCGAGAAAAGCCUCUAGCGAGUGUAUGCAUGGCCCGUACCCCAAACCGACACAGGUGAUCAGGUAGAAGAUACUAAGGCGAUCGAGAGAACUGUGGUUAAGGAACUCGGCAAAAUGCCCCCGUAACUUCGGGAGAAGGGGGGCCGCUACGGGUGCCACUGCCUUGCGUGGUGGUUGCGUGUGGUGGCCGCAGAGAAUAGAGGGAAGCGACUGUUUACUAAAAACACAGGUCCGUGCGAAGACGAUAAGUCGAUGUAUACGGACUGACGCCUGCCCGGUGCUGGAAGGUUAAGAGGACCUGUUAGAUCUGUUUGGGUCGAAGCGGAGAAUUUAAGCCCCAGUAAACGGCGGUGGUAACUAUAACCAUCCUAAGGUAGCGAAAUUCCUUGUCGGGUAAGUUCCGACCUGCACGAAUGGCGUAACGACUUCCCUGCUGUCUCAACCACAGACUCGGCGAAAUUGCAGUACGAGUAAAGAUGCUCGUUACGCGCGGCAGGACGAAAAGACCCCGGGACCUUUACUAUAGCUUGGUAUUGGUGCUUGCUACGGUUUGUGUAGGAUAGGUGGGAGAUGUUGAUCGCAUGACGCUAGUUGUGUGGGAGUCGUAAUGUGAAAUACCACUCUGAUCGUAGUGGGUAUCUAACUUCGGCCCGUGAUCCGGGUCAGGGACAGUGCCUGGUGGGUAGUUUAACUGGGGCGGUUGCCUCCUAAAGAGUAACGGAGGCGCCCAAAGGUUUCCUCAGCCUGGUCUGUAAUCAGGUGGUGAGUGUAAGUGCACAAGGGAGCUUGACUGUGAGACUGACAGGUCGAGCAGGUACGAAAGUAGGGACUAGUGAUCCGGCACCGGCUUGUGGAAGCGGUGUCGCUCAACGGAUAAAAGGUACCCCGGGGAUAACAGGCUGAUCUUCCCCAAGAGUCCAUAUCGACGGGAUGGUUUGGCACCUCGAUGUCGGCUCGUCGCAUCCUGGGGCUGGAGUAGGUCCCAAGGGUUGGGCUGUUCGCCCAUUAAAGCGGCACGCGAGCUGGGUUUAGAACGUCGUGAGACAGUUCGGUCUCUAUCCGCCGCGCGCGUUGAAACGUGAGGAAGGCUGUCCCUAGUACGAGAGGACCGGGACGGACGUACCUCUGGUGUGCCAGUUGUUUCGCCAGGAGCAUUGCUGGUUGGCUACGUACGGGAGGGAUAACCGCUGAAAGCAUCUAAGCGGGAAGCCUGUUUCGAGAUAACGUUUCGUUUGAGGUGUCCGGGAGAUGACCGGGUUGAUAGGCCAGGGUUGUAAGCGCUGUGAGGUGUUGAGAUGACUGGUACUAAUUCACCGAUACCAAACACAA